UACGUAGGGUGCGAGCGUUGUCCGGAAUUAUUGGGCGUAAAGGGCUCGUAGGCGGUCUGUCACGUCGGGAGUGAAAACUCGGGGCUUAACCCCGAGCCUGCUUCCGAUACGGGCAGACUAGAGGUAUGCAGGGGAGAACGGAAUUCCUGGUGUAGCGGUGAAAUGCGCAGAUAUCAGGAGGAACACCAAUUGCGAAGGCAGCUCGCUGGGACGUAACUGACGCUGAGACGCGAAAGCGUGGGGAGCAAACAGG
rnacentral:rRNA from 1 species